rnacentral:lncRNA from 1 species
GGGUGCCAGGGGGCCUCAUGAAUACUCAGACAGAGUUGAAUCCUCUGGUACCAGAGGAUAGAAUCACCUGAAGUAGCUACUUAAAAUGCUUUCACAAGAGGUUUUACAAAAUCUAGGAAAUUCUGAUAGAAGCAGGUAGAUUUAAAACUUAUUCCCUGCACACUGGCAAGUUAGUCAAGGCUUCUGGGUGAGUGGGUGGGUAGGGAGAAGGUCGUCUUACUGGAGGGAAUCUGCCUGCUUUAAGCUGAGCUGGAGACCAUCUAUGUUAAAUCACCCUCCGGAGCAGUCCUGGGGCACUGUCCUCCUGCCUUUCAGCUAUGUCUUUCCUGUGUCUACACUGGUGACAGUUGUUGAGGCCAUGACCACAAUGACUGAUCAGUGUUUCACUCCUGGAUCCCAGGAUAAAGGAGGAAAAAACACCCAAGAUUAAAAAAUAGUGAAGCCUCCAUGCUACUAUGGUGCCUGCCUCUCUGUGUCCACUCUAGGAAGACUGCU